GGUUCGAUCAUGGCUCAGAUUGAACGCUGGCGGGAUGCUUUACACAUGCAAGUCGAACGGCAGCACGGACUUCGGUCUGUGGCGAGUGGCGAACGGGUGAGUAAUGUAUCGAACGCCCAGGCGGGGAUAACUACGCGAAAGCGCGUAGCUAAUACCGCAUACGCCCUUCGGGGGAAAGUGGGGACCUUCGGGCCUCGCACUAUUAGAGCGCCGAUAUCAUGGAUUAGCUAGUUGGUGGGGUAACGGCUCACCAAGGCGACGAUCCGUAGCUGGUUUGAGAGGACGACCAGCCACACUGACUGAGACAUGGGCCCAGACUCCUGCAUGUGGAGGCAGCGAGUGGGGAAUUUUGGACAAUGGGGAAACCCUGGUCCAGCCAUCCCGCGUGCGAUGAAGGGCCUUCAGUUGUAAAGCACUUUUUGGCAGGAAAGAAACAAGCACGAUAACACCCCGUGCAACUGACGGUACCUGCAGAAUAAGCACCGGCUAACCACACGUGCCACAUGGUGUCAAAAGUAAUACGUAGGGUGCAAGCGUUAAUCGGAAUUACUGGGCGUAAAGCGUGCGCAGGCGGUUCGGAAAGAAAGAUGUAAAACCCAGAGCUUAACUUUGGAACUGCAUUUUUAACUACCGAGCGAGUGGACCCAGCAGUGAAUGCGUAGAUAUGCGGAGGAACACCGAUGACAAAGGCAGCCUCCUGGGAUAACACUUGACGCUCAUGCACGAAAGCGUGGGGAGCAAACAGGAUUAGAUACCCUGCAGUCCACGCCCUAAACGACGUCAACUAGCUGUUGGGGCUCGGGCCUUGGUAGCGCAGUUAACGCGUGAAGUUGACCGCCUGGGGAGUACGGUCGCAAGAUUAAAACUCAAAGGAAUUGACGGGGACCCGCACAAGCGGUGGAUGAUGAUUAAUCUUGAUGCAACGCGAAAACCUUACCUACCCUUGACAUGUCUGGAAUCCCGAAGAGAUUUGGGAGUGCUCGCAAGAGAACCGGAACACAGGUGCUGCAUGGCUGUCGUCAGCUCGUGUCGAGAUGUUGGGUUAAGUCCCGCAACGAGCGCAACCUUGUCAUUAGUUGCUAUGAAAGGGCACUCUAUCGAGACUGCCGGUGACAAACCGGAGGAAGGUGGGACAUCGGCCAAGUCCUCAUGGCCCUUGCGGCAGGGCUUCACACGUCAUACAAUGGGUCGGGACAGAGGGUCGCCAACCCGCGAGGGAGCCAAUCCCAUGAAACCCGAUCAGGUCCGAUCGCAGUCUGCAACUCGGACCGGUGGUCGAAUCGCUAGUAAUCGCGGAUCAGCAUGUCGCGGUGAAUACGUUCCCUGGUCUUUACACACCGCCCGUCACACCAUGGAGUGGGUUUUACCAGAAGAAGAACAACCGUAAGGAGGGCGAUUACCACGGUAGGAUUCAUGACUGGGGUGAAGUCGUAACAAGGUAG
rnacentral:rRNA from 1 species